rnacentral:misc_RNA from 1 species
AUAUGCAAGAAUUAGUCUUCGUUAAAAUUUAUGGGUAAGUAUUUCUAUGCAUUCUAGAAAGAGAAAAUGGAACCCCCAUAUACUUCUUAAAAUCCUUAGAAAAUCCUAGAUUACACCUACACCCAGCUUAUUAGUGAAAACUCGUUUACCACAAAAUUUCACAUUCUUAGAAAACUAAGCUGUUAUUUUAAUUGUAAGAGUGAGCAAUGUAAAUGAAAGAGCAACAAAAUUUCUAAUCAAAUUUUGCUUCAAUUUGGCAGGAAAUAGUACAUGGUCAAGAAAAUGCUUGAAAAGUCUUCGGUUUGUGGCUGGCAUUAAUUGCCAGGUCAUUGUGGAAUUCUGUCACGUUCAAGACGACAAAUCUGACCUGUUCUUGGACCCAUAAGCAAGGCAAUUUCUUUAUAUUUGAUUCUUUUCUUAGUUGGAAUGAAUGAUGCUCUUGCUAGCGCUUUGCAAAUUCCACAAAGUACACUCUCUUUCAAAGUCAUUUGCAAAUUCCACAAAGUCAUUGAUAA